UGCACGCUAGGUGGAGCCGCGAAAGGUCACGUGGGAAAAGCGACGUAUCCACAGCUUCGUGGACGACAUCGUCAUCAUCAAACCGUCGCUGAUUUGAGACUCACAUUAGGCUUCCUAUUGCUUUUUGCUACUGUAUUUUCCCAAACGUCCGCUAUAACACAAAGUAAAAUUAAUAGCUAAAAACAGAGAUGUUGAUGUUGGCAGCAUCAUCAGAAGCAGCGACAUCUGAGGCCCGCGCACUGAGCGGCGUGACGCAGCAGUUGUUCCAUUUGGUUGUUCUAGGAGCUGAGCUUUUGACCCAUGGCACACAGAGCGUACGACAGCCCUACGCCAGAAGACAGUAUCGAAGUGAUACGUGCUAGGACACAUGCGGUCUCCAUUACCACUGUUAUCGGCUAUUACGCUCUCAUAUUGGGAAUAUUCCUGCUCUACUCCGUCGGUUUCAUCGCUUACAAGAUUGACGAAGAUAUCGCUGAAGUUGAAAAAUUCUACUACACCAUGACGGCAACCGGAGGACAUGGCACGGGGCACGGGGAACCACAUCACGUUAGACCAGUCGCUAAAAGGGAUCAAAACAGCAAUGAGACAGAGCAUGAAGACAACACUACAGACAUGUCGUCCCUGUCUACAGAAAUGGACGUUUCCAGGACCAAGUCUCUAGCAGCAAGGACCAAGGCUCCGACAAAUGCAACACACCGCUUCAGCACUAUGGAGAACACGCGGUGCACCCAUGAACCUCUGCAGACAUUUCCAGAUUUGUUUGACGGGUGACACGAUACGGUACUUCGGUAACGAUACGAUUUAGUUGCAACAGAUUGGCUUGCUAUAGACCA